CGGUUUUUUUAUUUUUCUUGGAUUUUGAGGUAGAUAAAUUAGUGAACGAAUUAACUAUGGUUGUUUUACCCUUUUCAAUAAUGUUUUUUCCGAAAUCCAUAUUCAAAUAUAAAAAGUGAGUAAAUUAUAUAUAAUACGAAAAUGAUUAGCAAAGUUUUAAACAAAUAAAUAACUAAAUAAGUAGAGACUAGAGAUUAAUUACUCACAAAAUAAAUAAUUAAAUGCAAACAAAUAAAUAACUAAAUGAAAAGUGAGUUGGAACGAAUGUACCAAACGUCUACUUAAAAAAGUAGACGUGUAUGACCGGAAGGCGAAAAUUGAAAGUUGAAUUUUGAAGCUCCAAUUUCCAAAGAUCAAAUUCGUAAUUUUAACGAGAAUAAGAGAAUUU
rnacentral:lncRNA from 1 species